GAUGAACGCUAGCGGCAGGCCUAAUACAUGCAAGUCGAGGGGCAGCGCGGUAGCAAUACUGGCGGCGACCGGCGCACGGGUGCGUAACACGUAUGCAACCUACCUUCAACUGGAGGAUAGCCCGGGGAAACUCGGAUUAAUACUCCAUAACACAGGGAUCCCGCAUGGGAAUAUUGUUAAAGCUACGGCGGUUGAAGAUGGGCAUGCGUUCGAUUAGCUAGUUGGUGUAGGUAACGGCUCACCAAGGCUACGAUCGAUAGGGGGUCUGAGAGGAUGAUCCCCCACACUGGUACUGAGAUACGGACCAGACUCCUACGGGAGGCAGCAGUAGGGAAAUAUUGGUCAAUGGGCGCAAGCCUGAACCAGCCAUGCGCGUGCAGGAAGAAGGCCCCUCUGGGGUUGUAAAACUGCUUUUGAUAGGGAACAAAUGCCACUUGCGAGUGGAGCUGAGUGUACCUAUAG
rnacentral:rRNA from 1 species